GGGCCCGCACAAGCGGUGGAGUAUGUGGUUUAAUUCGAUGCAACGCGAAGAACCUUACCUGGCCUUGACAUGUCGAGAACUUUCCAGAGAUGGAUUGGUGCCUUCGGGAACUCGAACACAGGUGCUGCAUGGCUGUCGUCAGCUCGUGUCGUGAGAUGUUGGGUUAAGUCCCGCAACGAGCGCAACCCUUGUCCUUAGUUGCCAGCACGUAAUGGUGGGAACUCUAAGGAGACCGCCGGUGACAACCGGAGGAAGGUGGGG
rnacentral:rRNA from 1 species